rnacentral:rRNA from 1 species
AGUGAACGCUGGCGGUAUGCCUAACACAUGCAAGUCGAACGGCAGCACAGGAAGGCUUGCUCUCUAGGUUUCGAGUGGCGGACGUGUGAGGCAUACAUCUGAAUCUGCCCAGUCGUUGGGGAUAACGUAGGGAAACUUACGCUAAUACCGCAUACGACCUUAGGGUGAAAGAUGGGUAUCGCAAGACCUCUCUCGAUUGGAUGAGCCGAUGUCGGAUUAGCUAGUUAGCGGGGUAAUGGCUAACCAAGGCGACGAUCCGUAGCUGGUCUGAGAGGAUGAUCGGCCACACUGGAACUGAGACACGGUCCAGACUCCUACGGGAGGCAGCAGUGGGGAAUAUUGGACAAUGGGCGCAAGCCUGAUCCAGCCAUACCGCGUGGGUGAUGAAGGCCUUCGGGUCGUAAAGCCCUUUUGUUGGGAAAGAAAAAAUUCAGGAUAAUCCCCUGGGAGCAUGACGGUACCUAAACAAUAAGCCCCGGCUAACUUCGUG